rnacentral:misc_RNA from 1 species
GGCCAUCGUCGUUCAGUCCGGCAAUAUGAGCCUCGGGGUUAACCUGCUGGCGGCGCUGGUCAAGCAGGUAGCGAAGUCGCUCGACGAGGAUUUCGACAUCGAGAUUCUUGAAAUGCACCACAGGCAGAAGAUCGAUGCCCCGUCGGGCACCGCCUAUCUGCUCGGUCAGGCGGCCGCCGAUGGCCGCGGCGUCAAUCUCGAUCAGCGGUCGGUGCGCGCGCGUGAUGGUCAUACCGGCGCGCGUAUUCCGGGCGACAUCGGAUUUGCGACCCUGCGCGGCGGCACCGCCACGGGUGAUCACACGGUGAUUUUCGCCGGGCCUUACGAACGCAUCGAACUGGCGCACAAGUCGGAGGAUCGCAUGAUCUUCGC